rnacentral:rRNA from 1 species
UGGGUAACCUGCCUCAAAGAGGGGAAUAGCCUCCCGAAAGGGAGAUUAAUACCGCAUAAUAUGUUUAGGUCGCAUGACUUUAACAUCAAAGGAUUUCUUUUAGAAAUUCCACUUUGAGAUGGACCCGCGGCGCAUUAGCUAGUUGGUGAGGUAACGGCUCACCAAGGCAACGAUGCGUAGCCGACCUGAGAGGGUGAUCGGCCACAUUGGAACUAAGACACGAUCCAGACCUCCGUAGGGAGG